rnacentral:tRNA from 1 species
GCCCCAGUAGCCCAAUCGGCAGAGGCACCAGACUUAAAAUCUGUUCAGUGUGGGUUCGAGUCCCACCUGGGGUACCA